rnacentral:rRNA from 1 species
UACAGAGGCCUCGAGCGUUAGGCGGCAUCACUGGGCUUAAAGCGUGUGUCGGCGGAUGCCUAAGUGCCUUGUGAAAUUCCACGGCUUAACCGUGGAACUGCUUGGCAUACUGGGUGUCUUGAGCAGCCUAGGGGCGAGCGGAACAGAUGGUGGAGCGGUGAAAUGCGUAGAUAUCAUCUGGAACGCCAAUGGUGAAGACAGCUCGCUGGGGGCUCGCUGACGCUGAGACACGAAAGCCAGGGGAGCGAACGGG